AAUGGGGCUGCUGGGACAUGAAGCAGUGCAUCAUGGGGCACUGAGCAGGGGUGCCUUCCACUCACCCCCCCUUCCCACAAGACCUAUCGAGAGAGCUGCACUGUGGGAUAGUUGCCCUAGAGCGCUGCUCUCAUUGGGGAUGGAAGUGUUGCUAGUGUAAACACUCUCUGACGCCUGAGGAAUUAAUGUGAUCUGUUUAGCAUAGAAAUAGCAACUUCAAGCUGUAUUUCACCAGGGCCAGGCCCAAAUACACAUGGGGCUAAAACAAAAUAACCAUGUGAAGCAUCCUUUUACUCUGUGAUGGAAGUAUGGUCAAAACAUGAGAGACUCUUAGACCAAAGGGUAAACAAGCUCAAAAGAAAGACAGCUGAAAAGGAAAAUUCACCAGCAUCAAGAGCUGACAGAUGGAAGAAGCCAGCCUGGGCAACUCACCUGAUGAUGCCAUAGUUAGAGCUACAGGGACACCUCCAGCGGAACCACCAAAGAACCAGGAAUCUGCUCUGAGACCUUUAACAACGAAGAGCGCAGACGUAGCAUCUGAAGCUCAGAUACGUCAAAUCCAAGGACAAAACAAAAGAUUCUGGUAAAAAGCAACAAUGCAAACACAGUUCCUCAGUGGUCAACACCACACAAGACCUUGAGAAAAAUGAGUGAAAACACACACAUUCACAACCCAGAGCACAUGCUUUAGGGGUUGUGAAUAAAAAAA